CAUCGCGNCUANCAUGCAGUCGACGCUGAAGCUCCAGCUUGCUGGGGUGGAUGAGUGGCGAACGGGUGAGUAAUACGUGAGUAACCUGCCCUUGACUCUGGGAUAAGCCUGGGAAACCGGGUCUAAUACUGGAUACGACGUCCCACCGCAUGGUGGGGUGUGGAAAGGGUUUUACUGGUUUUGGAUGGGCUCACGGCCUAUCAGCUUGUUGGUGGGGUAAUGGCCUACCAAGGCGACGACGGGUAGCCGGCCUGAGAGGGUGACCGGCCACACUGGGACUGAGACACGGCCCAGACUCCUACGGGAGGCAGCAGA
rnacentral:rRNA from 1 species